rnacentral:rRNA from 1 species
UCUGCUCAAUGAAUAAUUUUUAAUAGCUGCAAUAUUCUUAAUUGUACAAAGGUAGCAUAAUCAUUUGUCUUUUAAUUAAAGAAUAGAAUGAAAGAUUUCAUAAAAUAUUAACUAUAUAAAUUUAAUAAAUAUUUUAAAUUUAUUUUUAAGUAAAAAAUCUUAAAUUUAAUUAUUAGACGAUAAGACCCUAUAGAACUUUAUAUUAUUAUAGUUAAAUAAAAAUUUUAUUUAUUUAAAUUAAUUAUUUAUAAUAUUAUAUUGGGGGUAUAAAAAAAUUUAAUAAAUUUUUUUAUUUUUAUUAACAUUUUUAAAUGAAUUUAAAAAGAG